UUUUACAAGUCUGUGAUUGGCAUUCAUUUGCCGGUUCAUCGGGAGGACUGCAACGGAUCCAAGGCUUAAGGCGAUCGCACGACAAAAUCGUAUUGAGCGGCUUCGCCGUUACGUUAAAGCCCGGUCCGUAUCCUGACUCACCAGUGCCUUGGUGAAGCGAGCUAACUCGUGAUCGGCAUGGCUGCGCUGCUCGAAACCAAAUAGCAGCUUCGACGGGCUCGACUUCGUGACUGCGUGUUUCCUGUAACGGUCCGAAAUGGUCGAGAUGCAAUAUCUCGAACGGCGCAGACGCUGAGGGAUAAAGACUCGUCUCUCCCUCGAAACGCGUGACGGAAUUAUUUGCCAUUACGCAGCCCGCAGUGUGCCAUUUCGUCGUGAUGUGCUCGUAUCACGCUGAUUUCCAUCGCUUCCGGUACGACAAAUGUCUGAGAGCUGACGGAAUUCGAGCUCCCUUUCCAGCGGCAGUUCGUGCACGUACGCCGCGCAUCGGCUGAGUGCAUCUACAUGCGCCAUUCGUGUGCCCGGUCGCGCUAUUUGUGGCCUGACUGAAAUACGCAACCGGACACCAUCUACCGUCGUUUUGCUUCUGUAGCAGUAUUGCGCCCAGGCCCAGACUGCUUGCAUCAGUGUGCAGUUCCGUGUCCAGGGCCGGGUUAUAAAGUGC
rnacentral:lncRNA from 1 species